rnacentral:rRNA from 1 species
GAUGAACGCUGGCGGCGUGCCUAAUACAUGCAAGUCGAGCGGACGGACGCGGCGCUUGCUUCUCUCAUGUUAGCGGAAGACGGGUGAGUAACACGUGGAUAACCUACCUGUAAGACUGGGAUAACUUCGGGAAACCGGAUCUUAUACCGGAUAAUAUUUUGAACCGCAUGGUUCGAAAGUGAAAGACGGUCUUGCUGUCACUUCUAGAUGGAUACGCGCUGCAUUAGCGAGUUGGUACGGUAAAGGCUUUCCAAGGCGACGUUGCAUAGCCGACCGGAGAGGGCGAGCAGCCACACUGGGAGGGAGACAGGCUCCAGAGUCCUACGGGAGGCACCAGGAGGGAAUCGGGAGCAAGGGGCGAAAGACUGACGGAGAAACGCCGCGUGAGUGUGGAGGGUCUUCGGAUCGUAAAACUCUGUUUUUGGGGAAGAACAUAUUUGUACGUAAGUGUACACAUCUUGACGGGAACUAAGCAGAAAGACACGGCUAACUUCGUG